CCACUAUCUAUCAGUGUCUAUUUUUAAUGUAAUAACCUGUGAAAUGCAACUAUCCUGCCUUUGACAUCAAGUAUGUCUUCGGGAUAUUUUGUCAUUAGAGCUUUAUUGCACAAAAUGAAGCAUAGAGGUUUAAGAACAAGCUGCAGAAUUUAUUCAGUUUCUUAGACAUAUGAUGUCUUGGAGAUCAGGGUGAGCAGCUCCACCCUCUCUUCAAACGCAGCUCACACCCUUAAGAUAAAGUUGCAGCCUGAGAACAAACACCUAAGUGAUGAGAAGUUUUACCCUCAAUGUCAACCAGCUAAAUCCUCCAAGAAACACACAGAGGAGUUUCAUCUCACCUGUUUGUUUACAUUGUAGGACUAUUGUAAAGUUGGACUCUGUAUUGGUUGUAAUUACUCUACUCUAUAAUAAAAC